rnacentral:misc_RNA from 1 species
GAUGAAGAACGUAGCUAAAUGCGAUACGUAAUGUGAAUUGCAGAAUUCAGUGAAUCAUCGAAUCUUUGAACGCACAUUGCGCCUGCCAGCACUCUGGCAGGCAUGCCUGUUCGAGCGUCAUUUCAACCAUCAAGCCCUAGGCUUGCGUUGGAGCCCUGCGGCUGCCGCAGGCCCCUAAAAGCAGUGGCGGGCUCGCUAUCACACCGAGUGCAGUAGAUUACUCUUCGCUCAGGGCGUGUGGCGGGUUCCAGCCGUGAAACCCCCUACUUCUCAAGGUUGACCUCGGAUCAGGUAGGAAUACCCGCUGAACUUAAGCAUAUCAAUAAGCGGAGGA